rnacentral:rRNA from 1 species
GACGAACGCUGGCGGCGUGCCUAAUACAUGCAAGUCGAACGCUUCUUUCCUCCCGAGUGCUUGCACUCAAUUGGAAAGAGGAGUGGCGGACGGGUGAGUAACACGUGGGUAACCUACCCAUCAGAGGGGGAUAACACUUGGAAACAGGUGCUAAUACCGCAUAACAGUUUAUGCCGCAUGGCAUAAGAGUGAAAGGCGCUUUCGGGUGUCGAUGAUGGAUGGACCCGCGGUGCAUUAGCUAGUUGGUGAGGUAACGGCUCACCAAGGCCACGAUGCAUAGCCGACCUGAGAGGGUGAUCGGCCACACUGGAACUGAGACACGGCCCAGACUCCUACGGGAGGCAGCAGUAGGGAAUCUUCGGCAAUGGACGAAAGUCUGACCGAGCAACGCCGCGUGAGUGAAGAAGGUUUUCGGAUCGUAAAACUCUGUUGUUAGGGAAGAACAAGGACGUUAGUAACUGAGCGUCCCCUGACGGUAUCUAACCAGAAAGACACGGCUAACUACGUG